CGUCUACCAAUGCGCGUUACGAAGGUGUUGAAAGUAUCCCGCUGUGUCUACUCCAAGACCCGUUCGCCGAUGCCGAGAACGAUGCGCCAUCUUCCGAAGAUCCUUUCUCAACUGCAGGCAGUAAUGUGACAAACAACAACACUCUAUCGAACAAAUUUGAUGCCAAGUUCAACAAAUCGUCCACCGGCUCGCUGGAAACGCUGGAUGAGCUGUUUAAGGGUGUACGGAUUUCAGGU